UCGACUAGGAAAAAGAAACGAUCAGGUUAUAGGUGAGGGUAGACCGCGGUUCACAUGCAACAAAGUGUCUGUGGUGGUCGCCUCUUGAAUAUUCAAACACGUCUGUCUAGGUCAAGGGUGUGGGAAGAGCCGAGCGGAGAUUGCAUAGGCCAGACCCCGAAUGACGGUGCAUUUAGGUGUGAAUUUGUACACAGCGAUUAACUUGAAUAUUAGGACACCGUACAAUUUUUACUUUGUACAUUUUCUCUAUACACCUACGUAUAUUUUAUUUGGACUUUUUAGAAUGUUGAUAUGUCCGGUAAAUAUCGAAUAGAGCCCAGAAUAGGGCUCUAGUAGUACUCCUGCUGAUAUUUCCUUUUAUGUUGACUAUACUAUAUAUAUACUGUUCUUCAGCUAUGAGUAGACAUUUACUUAAUCAUUAUUGAAAUUUGUAGUGGUGUCAUUAGUAAUUCUUAACACUUAUAAUAUAUAAGGAAUAUAAUUAUACACCUGUGGGAUUCCCUUGUGAACCGUGGUAGUCAUUCCCGUGUGAGACAAAGAGAGAAGACGAAGAAGAAGAAGAAACGUGAAAUGCUGGUUCACCCUUGAAAUUCACCCGACUCGGGACCACUUGAUGCUCAUAAUAUAGCGAUUAAGACUAAUGCAGACGCAUAAAAAUGCAGCCGACCGAGAGACCGAGUCCCGAGAUUGUUACAAAGUAAACACUCGCCCUUCCCAGGGCUCCAGUCAUUCCGUAUUCAAGGACGCAGAUCAAUCCUCCCGUUGCGAAGCCACCUGAAGCGCGUUCGAGCACAGAAAAGGAAGAAGAAUCCCGAGUCGGCUUUGAUGCAGCUGCUAGGAAGAAACUGCAUUCUUCUUUCCACGUACGCUUCUUACAUACUUGGAAGGAAGAAUGGGUGUUCUGCGAGAAAAAAGCCAGGUAUCGAUCCUUCCCUUCGGACGAGCGAGCCAGAGCAAGAUGGUGAAGCCGUACCGAAUUGGGCUGAACCUAAUUUCAGUUUGGAAGACGUGGGAUAUCUCAAAAACCACGGAAAAUAUGGCAGGAUACUCAUUGUAGCGGACGAAAUAACAGCACAGUGUGUCCUUAAGUUUUGUAUGAUUUCUGCUGAAUUACUUUAUUAACCAAAUGAAAUUUUCAAACAAACCAUAAAUCGAGGUUCGGACAACAACCACGAUCUGUUAUUUCUUUAUUUUGGGACGAAGAAGGAACUUGACACGUUAAAUCACCGGCCUUAAACAAAGCAAAUCAAUUCCUGAGGAUAAAGCCUAGUGACAUUAGUGCCCUAGUGUGUCUGGGUUAGAUAUUCUGACUCUUAGAUAUCCGAUUUCGUGGACUACUAGUUAAAAGGGAUUUAUUGAAAAGUACAACAAACUAAUGAAUUAUGUAUUCUCCACCAGAAUAGAUGGUCUAGAUGGAAUCUUCCACUUUUAGUUUCGCAAACCAUUCUUGAAAAGUCUUCGCAGCUACAGUAUUCUUUCCACAAACGACUCAAAUAUCUCAAACAGCUUUGGUAGCUUUCUGAAAGAGAAAAUAAAUAAUAAACUUCAUUCCUAACCUCUGAAAAUUACCUAACACAAUCACCUAGAUAUCCUGACAAGGUAUUGUGUUGCAUGAAUUCAGCUUGCGUUUACCUGGUCUGGUAAACUCGCGACUCCGCU